UAGGGAUCUCACCCUUAGCUAGUCCGUCUUCGCUCCACCCCCAAUUCCUAGCUUCACCGCUCACGAGUGCCCAGUGAUAGCUGACUUCCUCCCAAUAUUUCGGUCUUCCCUGCUGCUGAAUUUUCUUCCACAAAUCCAGAAUCACAAAUACCCAUUUCUCUCUCUUCCCGCAAGCGAAUCCUCUUUGCCUUAAAUUCAAGGUUUCUUUUUACCUAAGACUUGUAGAAAUGUACUUUCUUCUAGUAACUUAACAAUCAGAUUAUAAAACUGUUAGGAACAUCACCAUUAUCGGAAUCCCAUAGUUAAUUUCUUCACUCAGUUGGUCACAUCUAACUUUAAGACCAGCAAAGACUUUCAUUUGGCAAAAGGAGAAGUCUGAACCAAGGUCUGAGUAUGCUGUCGGGCUGGUCAGCUAAGUCUACACCCAUACUGGGUACCCAGUUGUUAUAUUUACCCAGCGUGUCUACGAAUUGUAUCAGAAAAGGUGGCUCCAAUGAGCUCAGUCUGCCAUGAGUUGUAGAUUCUUCUGGCUCUGCUAUGUGGGACACCACCUCAGCACGGCCUGAUGAGUGGUGCCAUGGCUGCACCCAGGAUCCUAACCAGUGAAACCCUGGGCUGCCCAAGCAGAGCGCGUGAACCCAACCACUCGGCCACAGGGCUGGCCUCAGCAACCACUUCUUUGAUUUUUUUUCCCUUGGAUUAGUGCCUCUUCUAGAACUUUAUACUCUUUUAUGUCUGGCUUCUUCUCAGUAUAAUGUCUGUGGGAUUCAUCCAGGUUGUUGGAUUAGUCUGUUCCUUAUAAUUGCUAUCACUACUACAAUAUGUUUAUC
rnacentral:lncRNA from 1 species